AAUGGCAUCAUUAAAGCUGGAAUAUGAGUCAUAGGAAAGGAUGGAGAGGUUGGGGAACCUGGUGUUUUUGAAACUAUGCUCCCUAGAUCUCCAAAGAGCCUAUGAGAAGACAUGUCGGGGCCACUGCCUGUGUCAUGUAUAAAGGGAUGUGGUCGUUCAUCCCGAGUUUUACAUGUUUGGAUUCUGAAUAUGAUAUAUUUCUGUAACAGGGCUUAUACUUAAAAAUCUUUUUAUUUGGCAGCUCAGAGGAGGGAUGUAACUUCUCAGAGAUUUGUAGCCAGCUUGUGACACAGCAUGGAGAGAGAAGCUGCUGCUGCUGCUGCUUCCAUGGAAAUGCAGAACCUUGAAGUAUCACAGUCCUUCCUGGGUCUCUGUAUGAUCCAGAGGUAACGAGCAACAUUUCUUACAUGCCAGGUUAGUUACCAGGAUGUACUCGGAAGAUGCACCUUGCAAUUAUCCAGGAGGAAGAUGGAACUUAUGAGGCGCUUCCCUGACAUGUAUCACCAUGGAGCCACUGGGAGGGAGACACCGUGGGGCUGCUUUUCCACAGAAAUGUCACCACAGCAAUGGCAGACCCAGGAGAUCUUGGAACUGGUAGAUGAUAGCAUCACGUGCUCAGGAGAGACCAAUCGUUUCUCUCCAACCACACUGAGAAUGAGUGAUGUCUUUGUGAUCAUAAAAUUGAAGAGAAAUUAAACUCCUCUGAGAAAGGU